UAACCUGCCUCAUACAGGGGGAUAACAGUUAGAAAUGGCUGCUAAUACCGCAUAAGACCACAGUACUGCAUGGUACAGUGGUAAAAACUCCGGUGGUAUGAGAUGGACCCGCGUCUGAUUAGGUAGUUGGUGAGGUAACGGCCCACCAAGCCGACGAUCAGUAGCCGACCUGAGAGGGUGACCGGCCACAUUGGGACUGAGACACGGCCCAGACUCCUACGGGAGGCAGCAGUGGGGAAUAUUGCACAAUGGGCGAAAGCCUGAUGCAGCGACGCCGCGUGAAGGAUGAAGUAUUUCGGUAUGUAAACUUCUAUCAGCAGGGAAGAAAAUGACGGUACCUGACUAAGAAGCCCCGGCUAACUACGUGCCAGCAGCCGCGGUAAUACGUAGGGGGCAAGCGUUAUCCGGAUUUACUGGGUGUAAAGGGAGCGUAGACGGCUGUGCAAGUCUGAAGUGAAAGGCAUGGGCUCAACCUGUGGACUGCUUUGGAAACUGUGCAGCUAGAGUGCCGGAGAGGUAAGUGGAAUUCCUAGUGUAGCGGUGAAAUGCGUAGAUAUUAGGAGGAACACCAGUGGCGAAGGCGGCUUACUGGACGAUGACUGACGUUGAGGCUCGAAAGCGUAGGGAGCAAACAGGAUUAGAUACCCUGGUAGUCCACGCCGUAAACGAUGACUGCUAGGUGU
rnacentral:rRNA from 1 species